ACCGAAUAGAUACCCGGGUAGUCCACGCCCUAAACGAUGCGAACUGGAUGUUGGGUACAUUACGGUACUCAGUGUCGAAAGCUAAACGCGUUAAGUUCGCCGCCUGGAGAGUACGGUCGCAAGACUGAAACUCAAAGGAAUUGACGGGGGCCCGCACAAGCGGUGGAGUAUGUGGUUUAAUUCGAUGCAACGCGAAGAACCUUACCUGGCCUUGACAUCUGUCGAAUCCUGCAGAGAUGCGGGAGUGCCGCAAGGAACGACAAGACAGGUGCUGCAUGGCUGUCGUCAGCUCGUGUCGUGAGAUGUUGGGUUAA
rnacentral:rRNA from 1 species